rnacentral:pre_miRNA from 1 species
CAUGCACCAGUGGGGUCCCUCGGCCUGGUCUGUGCCCUCUCACAAUCUGGGACCCCUUGGGGGAUGUUGGACUGGCAGUUUUGGCCCGAUCCCCACAGGCCAGGCCGAGGGACCCCACUGGUGCAUG